rnacentral:rRNA from 1 species
UACGGAGGGCGCAAGCGUUGUUCGGAAUCACUGGGCGUAAAGCGCGUGUAGGCGGAUUUGCAAGUCGGGUGUGAAAUCCCGAGGCUCAACCUCGGAACUGCACUCGAUACUGCCUGGCUGGAGUCCCGGAGAGGGAGGCGGAAUUCCCGGUGUAGAGGUGAAAUUCGUAGAUAUCGGUAGCAACAUCAGCGGCUAAGGAGGCCUUCUGGACUGUGAAUGACGCUUAGACGCGAAAGUGUGGGUAGCAAACAGG